rnacentral:rRNA from 1 species
GACGAACGCUGGCGGCGUGCCUAAUACAUGCAAGUCGAACGAACCGCGACUAGGUGCUUGCACUUGGUCAAGGUGAGUGGCGAACGGGUGAGUAACACGUGGGUAACCUACCUCAUAGUUGGGGAUAACAGUCGGAAACGACUGCUAAUACCGCAUAGGACAUAGGAUCACAUGAUCCAGUGAGGAAAGGUGGCGCAAGCUAUCGCUAAGAGAUGGACCCGCGGUGCAUUAGCUAGUUGGUAGGGUAAAGGCCUACCAAGGCGAUGAUGCAUAGCCGACCUGAGAGGGUGAUCGGCCACAUUGGGACUGAGACACGGCCCAAACUCCUACGGGAGGCAGCAGUAGGGAAUCUUCCGCAAUGGACGCAAGUCUGACGGAGCAACGCCGCGUGAGUGAAGAAGGUCUUCGGAUCGUAAAGCUCUGUUGUUAGAGAAGAACAGCGCAUAGAGUAACUGUUAUGCGUGUGACGGUAUAUAACCAGAAAGCCACGGCUAACUACGUG